ACGGGUGAGUAACGCGUGGGAACGUGCCCUUCGGUUCGGAAUAACUCAGGGAAACUUGAGCUAAUACCGGAUACGCCCUUUUGGGGAAAGGCUUGACUGCCGAAGGAUCGGCCCGCGUCUGAUUAGCCUGUUGGUGAGGUUACGGCUCACCAAGGCGACGAUCAGUAGCUGGUCUGAGAGGAUGAUCAGCCACACUGGGACUGAGACACGGCCCAGACUCCUACGGGAGGCAGCAGUGGGGAAUAUUGGACAAUGGGGGCAACCCUGAUCCAGCCAUGCCGCGUGAGUGAUGACGGCCUUAGGGUUGUAAAGCUCUUUUCUCCGGGACGAUAAUGACGGUACCGGAGGAAUAAGCCCCGGCUAACUUCGUGCCAGCAGCCGCGGUAAUACGAAGGGGGCUAGCGUUGCUCGGAAUCACUGGGCGUAAAGGGCGCGUAGGCGGCUGAUUUAGUCGAGGGUGAAAGCCCGUGGCUCAACCACGGAAUGGCCUUCGAUACUGGUUGGCUUGAGACCGGAAGAGGACAGCGGAACUGCGAGUGUAGAGGUGAAAUUCGUAGA
rnacentral:rRNA from 1 species